rnacentral:rRNA from 1 species
CCAGACUCCUACGGGAGGCAGCAGUGGGGGAUAUUGCACAAUGGGGGAAACCCUGAUGCAGCGACGCCGCGUGGGUGAAGAAGUAUUUCGGUAUGUAAAGCCCUAUCAGCAGGGAAGAAAGAAGACGGUACCUGACUAAGAAGCCCCGGCUAACUACGUGCCAGCAGCCGCGGUAAUACGUAGGAGGCGAGCGUUAUCCGGAUUCACUGGGUGUAAAGGGAGCGUAGACGGCCGUGCAAGCCAGGAGUGAAAGCCCGGGGCCCAACCCCGGGACUGCUCUUGGAACUGUGCGGCUGGAGUGCGGGAGGGGCAGGCGGAAUUCCUGGUGUAGCGGUGAAAUGCGUAGAUAUUAGGAAGAACACCAGUGGCGAAGGCGGCUUGCUGGACAGUAACUGACGUUGGGGCUCGAAAGCGUGGGGAGCAAACAGGAUUAGAUACCCCCGUAACA